rnacentral:rRNA from 1 species
UAGAUACCCUGGUAGUCCACGCCCUAAACGAUGUCAACUAGCUGUUGGGGCCGUUAGGCCUUAGUAGCGCAGCUAACGCGUGAAGUUGACCGCCUGGGGAGUACGGUCGCAAGAUUAAAACUCAAAGGAAUUGACGGGGACCCGCACAAGCGGUGGAUGAUGUGGAUUAAUUCGAUGCAACGCGAAAAACCUUACCUACGCUUGACAUGUCUGGAAUCCUGAAGAGAUUUAGGAGUGCCCGCAAGGGAAC